rnacentral:rRNA from 1 species
AAAGCCGUCACAGAGAGACACGCGGAGAGAGCA